rnacentral:rRNA from 1 species
CCCAGUAACGGCGAGUGAAGCGGCAACAGCUCAAAUUUGAAAUCUGGUCCCUAGGGCCCGAGUUGUAAUUUGUAGAGGAUGCUUUUGGUGAGGUGCCGCCCGAGUUCCCUGGAACGGGACGCCACAGAGGGUGAGAGCCCCGUCUGGCUGGCCGCCGAGCCUCUGUAAAGCUCCUUCGACGAGUCGAGUAGUUUGGGAAUGCUGCUCAAAAUGGGAGGUAUAUGUCUUCUAAAGCUAAAUAUUGGCCAGAGACCGAUAGCGCACAAGUAGAGUGAUCGAAAGAUGAAAAGCACCUUGAAAAGAGGGUUAAAUAGUACGUGAAAUUGUUGAAAGGGAAGCGCUUGUGACCAGACUUGGGCGCGGCGGAUCAUCCGGGGUUCUCUCCGGUGCACUUCGCCGCGUCUAGGCCAGCAUCAGUUCGUCGCGGGGGAAAAAGGCUUCGGGAACGUGGCUCCUCCGGGAGUGUUAUAGCCCGUUGCAUAAUACCCUGCGGUGGACUGAGGACCGCGCAUCUGCAAGGAUGCUGGCGUAAUGGUCACCAGCGACCCGUCUU